CUGAAAGUCUUCUUAGUGAAUGUUGGGAAAGUUACCUAGACGCCCGUGUUUAAUUGAGAAUGACCCUGUCCUAACACAUCACAAUAAACAAGGGGUUAUUAACACAGAGAAACUCGGAAGUGUUUGAAUGUGUUUAUGUGCACAUGCAUGAAGGUGGUGUUGAACAUGCACUAGCAUGUUAGCUCAUAACAAAUGUUCAUUUGUCUAGGAUGAAAUAUGCAACGGCUGUAAGAAGGGCCGCCACGUUCUGAAGUCCAAAGUGGUGUUCUUUCGCGUAUAAAUUACGAAGAUGAGGUUUCCAUAACACAGCUUAGAGCACUCUGGAGAGGGAAACCUGCAAAACAGACCUAUUUAAUUUUUCAUAGAAGAGGCCCAUCAGGAGCAAUAAGCCAAUAUUCCUCUUUCCCCCCUUUUCCAGAUGCUUUUUCCACCCCUACAUCUUUCCAAACCGAGCCCUUACAUUUUUUUCCCAGAAAAAAACAGCGGCAGCACUGCCGAGACCUACAUGAAAGGAAGGAACUGUUGAAAUGUUAAUUUUACCAUCUGCUGUUGAGGCCUGCUACCUGUUUGGUGUGUUCCUACCCCCCCCCCCCCCUGCCUUCUUUAAUUCCCAGUAGUUCUGUUCUGUUUUAUGAAUGUGCUGGUAUUUUGGUUUUUUGAAGUUUGGGGAUCUCAGAGCACGACUCUGACUGAAGAGGAAGAAAAAACUGGGUAAAAAACAGAGCGCCACGUGGAGUGACAGUCCGAUUAGCCCUCUUUCUCGAGUCCCGGUCCCUCCUCCCAGUCUCCCUCCUACCUGUCUGUCCCCUGAUCCCAGUUACCCUGUCUCUCCUCCCCAGUAACCCCCCCCCCCCCUGCCCCCCGUCUCUCUCUCUCCCUUUUCCUCCCUUCUCUCUCUUCUCUCUUUCUUCCUGAGUCUUAGUGUCUUCAGGGACCAAUUUAAUGUGUUUAUCUAACUGCUUGGGAUUUUAAUCAUUAGUUUACAAGACCCCAAACACCCUUUGUCUAAUAAUGCUUUCUUUGUAACACUCACACAGUCUGCGUAGCUUCCUGUAAGCCUUAUAAACCACCUAAAAAAUAAAUCAUACAAAGCCAAAUGUAAAAAAUAAAAAAUAAAAAUUCCUUUCAAAACUAUUCGUCCUCUUUUUUCCCCAGUAAAAAGUUGACACUUUUUUAAAUGACAUUUCAACAGCUUUUGCUAUAAGACUUUUGCCAAAUGGACGGAUUCCUUUGUGAGAUUUGAUAGUUGGCAAUUAGGGUGAGACAUCCUGUGUGCAGAGUUGCUUAGCAUUUUCCUUGGCUGGGAUCUGAUUGUUUAGUCUGCUCUCAUUGUGAACUGUUUCUGAGCAGCAGUUGACGGUUGUUUGCAAAGUUCUAGGAAAAUG
ensembl:lncRNA